AUCAUUUCAGUAUGUUUGGGGCAGAAGCCCGUCCUCAGCGGUGCAGAAGUGAUUGUGUAUCGCAAGGGGUAUUUUUAAAUCUAUUGCGCCCUGACUCGCCCACUCGAGCUGGAAGGAUGAAUGAUGCAAAACGGUCGGAGAUACCUGAGAGAACAUUCCGGCUGAUUAUGAGGGGAAAAAAAUCAAAUAAAAAACGAGACGCGCAGUGCAAUUAACAUGUGCUCUGUGCAACUCGGAUGCAUGUGUUUAUAAUGUAUGUUUGAGAAGAAGUAGAAAGCAUUUUGAAUAUAUAUACGAUAUAUAUCUCAUGUGUAAAUGCCGUUUGUAUGAAUGCUGUAGACGCAGGACUGAAAACCUCAUUGCCUUGUAUUCGAUCCCAUCACAUACCACCUUGUCUAGCAGUUGUAUUUGGUCGCUAGUGGGUGGCAGCACUGUGACGGUAGUGGGCGGUAUUGGAUUAGGCAAAGCAUAUUGUAUUAACAUGAAGCUUCGAGAAAUCGGUUAUUGGAAUGUGAAGAAUGGGUUUUGUGUACGACUAAUGUUAGCAGCGAACGGUGGCAAUAACUGCGAUGGACAGACAGACAGACAGACAGACAGAUAGAUAGACUGAUUGAUUGAUUGAUUGAUUGAUUGAUUGAAUGGGUUGAUUGGAAUUCCACGUGCAAAAUGAAGCGCGCUUGGGAGGCACCGCAGCAGCGCUAUUAAUUAGGGUUUUAAUGGGACCGCGUGUGCGGGAGGGAGCAGCGGCUGGUGCCGGCGGCAGCGCUUUGGGAGAGACUCGGGGCGGCGUGGCUCUCUUUUUAGAGCAUGUACGUGCAAGUUGGCGUUUCGAAAGGUAUUUCAGUUGACGUUGUGUUUGUGCAAGCCACGUCUGAGGGUGCGAGUUCUUUUGCACUGUGCACUUGGGGUGAUACUGCGCAUGCACUCUGUCUUGCAGUGGCGGCGUGGAGCUGGAAGGGCUCGCUCUGUGCUCCCCUCUCAAUGAAUGGGUUCAAUUGUGUUUUUUUUUUUUUUUCAGAUUCGUGAAAUGCAGAACGAGUGCUUUUGAAGAAGCUGCAGGAUAUGGAAGUCGUAAAUGCGGCUGCAGUGCGCGAACGCAGUGGGUCUCUCUAUCGAAGUAACCUCCUGCGGGCGGAGGGUAAGCGCUGAAGUUGCGUGUGCUGUACGUGUGUAGCUCAGCGUGUGGGGUUUGCAUGUUGCACUGUGGGGAACACACGACUGUUGUCAUGUUUGUAUCGCAGUUGGUAGCAUGUUUUGUUGUGGCCGAUGUGUGUUUCUUUGACAGAUUCCUGACCCUCUUGCUCCGGCGGUUCGUCCCGAUUGCAGCGCGCUUUUAUCCUGUGUUCCUGCACGCAGCGUGCAUUUUACAGCCGUGGCCUCCGUUCCUGCAGCUGUGCCUUUCUUUUGAGGGAAUGUGGAGACUUGAGGCAAGGUUCGCUGUGGCUUGUGGAAAAUUUCCUUGGUGUUUGCAGCGCUUGACGUGGGCUGCAUGCGAGUUAAGUGACGGAUUUUAGCUUUUGGUAAUGCAUGUGCCGUUUGUGUAGUAAACCGUGUUUUGCAUGCUGUGCCGUCACUGGUAGCACCCUGGGGUUUGUGUCUGAAUGCAGUGCGGUUGUCAUGUGGAGUCUGAUUUUGUUUUGUUUUACAGGCUUGUAGAUGCGAAUCCUGCUGGCUCACUGCUUGUCUUCAGUGGCAGUUGAAGAAUGCAAAGUGAGGAUGAUCUCUUCAGAGCGCUGCUGGCUCUGAGUGUUAGCGUGUGCUGCUGUAUGAGUUGGGUUUCAUGUCGGGAGAGGAGCGGCGCGUUUUGCCGUGGCGUCGCGGCUGGAAUGGAGCUGGAGUGGAUGAUCGCAAUGUGCUCUUUGUAUCUGAACGAGUUGCAGCGUCUUUGUUUGUGUGGAGAGUGUAGGCAGGAGGCUGGUUUUGCAGGUGCGGUUUGAAGGGGG